rnacentral:lncRNA from 1 species
GUGUGAUUCAAUACUGCCAUCUUCUGUUAGUUCCUUCCUUUCUUACNCAUUUAUUUUUGUAAUAAAACACGUGCAAUCCAAGGUGAUUCUGCUAGAUGGCAGCAUAAAAAGAAGAACAAGGUUCGACGACUCUGUGUGCGCGUGUGCAUCGCUCUUUCCAGCUCUUUGGCGAUUUUGUUGGUUCCGCAGGAACUUGAAGUCGCAUGUUCGAAUGGAAAAAGAGUAGAUAAGGGAGACGCGUUUUGUGGUGACGGUUGUCUGUGUCUUAUAUGUNAAAUGUGAAUGUUAAAUCUGGGGCCGAAGAAAGUGGCUCGAAGCGAGGAAGUGAAAAUCAGUGCUGAGUCUGGAAGCAAACAGGGAAUGAGGCCAGGAAGGAAAUUCAGUGGCAGUAUAUCUGUCCAAUGUGAUUCCUCCAACAGAAAGAAGAUAUUAGAUUUAAUGGAUGGAGAAUUAUGUCCCUGUGGGACUAAAGUAAUUGAAACAACUGAUCAUGUACUUUUUAAACUGCUCCUUCUAUUGCAACCUCAUUACCUAUAAGAGCCUAAAUGACUUGGACUCCAAAUACUUAAAGGAACGUCUUCUUCCAUGUUGUCUGCCUGCAUGUUAAGAUCUGCAGGGGAGGACCUCCUGGUUGUACCAUCACCUUUGUAGUUCAAGGUGUGGAGACCUGGGAUAGGACCUUCUUGGUUUCUCCUGUGAGGUGUCCAUUUUAGAAUUUGUUUUUAUUGCUGUAACCCACCCUGAGAUCUUUGGGUAUAGGAUGGGAUAAAAAUGCAACUAACUAACUUACUCUCAUCAGAACCUAAUAGGUUAGAUAGAAGCUAUCAGCUUACCUCUUCGCUGACUAGUGUCAUAAUGUGUCAUUUCAAGUUGCUAAAUUCUGUUCAGCAGCAAUUAAGAUUUGUUCACAGUGCAUUAUAGCAGGAUGUUUACAUACCCAUACCAGUUGUUAGUUUUAAUUGUCAGUUGUAGAAUGAUUGCUAUAACGAUCAAAGAUCGUAAUAAAGGCACUCAGAAGACUGACCGGGCCUCA